UCCGUGUCUUUAGGGGCUCGGUGCGUCUUUGGGCUACAGUCCAGUUACUACGGUAGCAGAAUGUGUCGACGGUGUUCUUGUGUUUGGCUGUUGAGCUACAUGGCUCAGAGCAGUUACCCCAUUCUGAGGGUAACAGUUGUUUUCCUCUGAUUGUUGUUGUCAUUUAACCUGGUCAUAGAAAUUCAGAAAAAGGAGAAAUUCAGCUUUGUUCUCCUCCCUUCAGCUUGAGACAAAGAUGAGGAGGUAACAAGUGGGGGCUGUUUCCUUCCUUCCUUUGGCACGGUUGUCCCUGGUUAGUUCAGGAGAGUCCAGCUGAUCACUGAUCAUCACAGCUCCUCCAUCGGGCACUCGUUUAUUGUUCUGCCUUUUUUAUUUUCUGGUGUAAUCCUGGGCGAUGAUCUACUUCCCUGGUGCGGCCAGGCGUUUCAUGACUUGAAUUAGUCACUGAAGUUUGCCUUUAAAGUCGCCUCAAGCCCGGCACGCUCCAAGAAGACUAGCGGCAGGAUUUAGUUUCUGGCUGGGCAGGAUCUGUGGAAACUGCUGUGAACAAAGAAAGACAUUUUUUCUGGGUAUUUCUGGUUUAGGUUGAGCAUAUUUGUUAAGUGUGUGGGUUUAGGCUGGUACGACACAACAGAAAGGUGUGGAGUUAAUGAAGAUCGACUGACCCUCCUCCUCUGUCCCCCGCUUUGGUCUGCACUCACAUUACCCCAAAGGCUAGUGAGCUGAAGCUCGGUUACCUCCGACACCGUGUCAGUGACUACUGUUUAUACGCAGUUAAAGCAGCAUGAUCAAGAGCUGAGUCGAGGUGAGACAAAUAGGUUCUGGCAUCUCGCAGAAAUAACUCCGCUGUCUCAGAAGUUCGCUCCCCAAACUUUGAACUUGUGCAGCCGCCGUCAGCACUGCCAGGAGUCAGGCCAAUCCUGCUGAUAGCUCAAGCAUCGCAAAGCCACAAAUGGAAGCCAGAAAGUGAAGCACAGCGGAGAACGUCUGAGACAAUGAGUGCAGACGGAGCUGACGUUUGAUGGAACGAUCCUCAGCAGAACUGAACCCUUAUCUACACCAUGGCUACAACUGUGACAAGAUGGUGGAGGUCAUGGAGGGAGCCACCACCACCACCACCACCACCAGCAGCAGCAGCUGCUCCCGGGGGAAAUUUAAUCACGUACAGUACCAGCUUAGAAAUUAAGCUAUGUCCUGUUUUUAUAAACUGGUGGGAAUUUGUUUAAUCAGGAAUGACACUGGGUUUUAAUCAAUUUUGGUGAAACUCCUUCAUUGCUUAUGCUUUUUAACUGAUUUUAACUGAUAAACACGUGUAGUGACGGUGUAUUAGAGCAAUGACAAAUGAAUGUGGGGUGGAAUUAUUGGAUAAAAGUCAAAAUAACCUUUAUUGAUACAGUCCGUUAAAAUGAUCAUUAUUCAAACAUACUUGAUUUUUUUUCAAAAGUUAAAAGGUGUAACACUCAGUCCAGGAGCCUACAGUUGGGCCACUUUCUUGUUCUGUCACAGUUGUUUUAAAUGUCACAUCCUGGCUCUGACCACUCAAAUGUGCACGUUCCUGCAAAUUCAGUUACAUUUUAAUAGUAGAUAAUUAAACUCCGUUACAUGAUUCAGUGUCUCCUACCCAGCCAAAAGGCAUUCAUUGCUUUUUGGCUCAGCUACAGAGAUGCUAAUCUUCCCUAUCGUCUGUAUAGUUCCCAGUUCCAACAUGGGCUGCAGUGAGCCGUUCCAUUGGGUCUGGCCCUGGAACAACAUUAUCAACAACAACAAAAAAUGGCUGAGAAAUCAGUGACCUAAAUCUGAUACCCUACCACAUACAUCUACCUGCCAUCAUUUUCCUUUCUGUUCCAUUCACGAAAUCUUUUGUGUCAUAAUUAGGAUUAGAUAUCUAUUUCAAUUUAUCGCAAUUAAUCGUGAUUAAUUACAAUCGUGAUUAAUCCACAGCAGCCCACUGAAUCCGAUUUCAAUAAUUUAUCUGCCUGUUUAUACAAAUGUUAAUUCCAUCUGUUCCCACCAGAUCUGCCUGUCUCUGCGAGACUGGUUGGGAGAAAAAAACAAACAAUCUAGCUGUCUCUGUUGUCUUGCAGAAAGCACACAAGGUGAUUUCAAUUUGAUUCUUCAUGAAUAACAAAACAUUAACUUAACACGACACAACACAGACACGGCGUGCAGACUCAACUUAGCCCUGCAUGCGAAACACUUUCGACGUGUUUUACUGCCAAGAUGUCCUCCUGUAUAUUUGUCUUUAAAAGCCAGUUCUGGAAUAAUACUCUGGGUAAUGAUCUGGGUCCUAUUAUUAAUGCUAACACUAUAAUUUUAUUCAGCUGUACCUUUUUUUCAAGCUGUAGUCGUUGCUCUGCUGCUCGUCUGUGUGAUGUGUGUGGCUACUUAACUUACGUAUUUUUUACUUUUCUUUUUUCUUUUUUCUUUUUUUGCUUGUUUAUAUUCUUUCUUUAGCGGGCACCACGCUCAUAUUUAUUGACAAUUUCAUGCUUUAUUUCUAUGGUAAUCUUGCAUUUCUUCUUCGUACCACCAUCCUUACCACUCACUCUCUUAGGACUCAUCACUAUUAUGAAGAAUAAUGCACAAAAUAGAGAGGAAAUCACGUAGAUAAUGCAAACACAAUACGGAAGACUCGGGAGAUGCGUACGAAAGUCGACUGCAAUUCUCGACCACCUAGCGUCUGUAAUCGUGCUCGUAUCUCGAGUAUUUACUCGUAUCUCAAAGCAAAAAUUUGCUCGAAGGCUUGUUCGUAUCUCGGAAGACUCGUAUGUCGAGACUCUCGUAUCUCGAGGUUCCACUGUACAUACAUUUUGGUAUAAAUUAACAAUCUCACAAGUGAAGAUCAGACACGUCAUGAAGGUAGAUAACAUUGAACCUGCAGCUAUAACCUGACCACAACCAAACAUAUUUCCUUUUCUUAUACUUCUUAUACUUCUGUUUGUCAGCAAAGGCUUUCAUUACAAAUAACCUUUUUAUCUCGGCCGAGUCUCAUGUUGAAAUAACAUCACCAAAUUCACCCGCUCACUGCGAGAGCCGCUGAUUUGAGAAAGGAGCUCCAAGAUAGAAGCAGCAGUUUGUCUGCUCACCCAAGUGCACAGCAGCAGAUGAUUGUUGACAGCGUGCAGGUAACAACAGCCAGCUGCCACCAGCUUCACAGCAUAGGCAGAUAUGGGAAUUUGAAAAGAUCUUGUUUAUUCAUUGCAGGGUUUUUCAAAACAGUAGUAAAACCUGUUUUGAUGUACGGUUUGGAAACAGUGGCAGUAAAUAAAACUCUCAGACAGAGGAGCCAGACUGGAGGAUGCUGACAGGGAGGAGGAAAGGAAAGGCUUUCACAGAUGUAGCUAGGAAGGACACAAAGGCUUUUGUAGCAAACGUCUCUCAUGUAAUGAUUUUUGCAGCAAACUAUUCAGUCUGUGUUGAUGUUUUCAGCAGCCACUGCUGCUCGUAUUAAGAUUCAAAUUACAAUGCGAUUCUUAUUUUCUGUUAAUCACCAGAUGAAAUCCUGACUGAUUUAGAAAUGUGAUUAAUGGGAAUGACAAAGAGCAUGAAUCACUUCUUGUUUUGAAUCAUUUUGUUGGUCAAGAAUUACAUUUUCAAAGAGAUUACAGACAAAUACUCUAUUACUGUGGAUUCCCCUCUGUUUCAUGUCAGAAUGAUGAAAGUUAAAAUAAUGAAAUGUAUGAAAGAAUUCAAUCUUAACAGUUACACUUCUUUUGACAUGUCCAAAUGAGUGAUUUUAAGCGUGUUAUCUAAUCAGUGAAUUGGAUUUCCCCUCUAAUCUAGAAACCAUAAGAAAGUAAUUUAAUUCUGGGAAUCAGGAGAGAAAACUCAUAAAAUCUAAACGUCUCCAUGACCGUGGAGGUCUCAUUAUCUGGAACCACUUGCUCCUGGUUGUGUUUCCCUUGCCCAGCUGGACAGGAGCUGAUUGGUCAGAAAAGGACAGAUAUUAGAUGGCAGGUCCUGUCCCUUAAGCAUGACCUGAAGGCUGUGACCAAGCCUGGACCGGUGCUGCUUGGCCAGGUUCAUUCUGUAUAUGUGCACAACGAUAGCUUUUUCUUUCUGGAAGCUCUUUCACCACCAAAGAGAACGAUGUCAAUGAGCCACGUAUUUUGGGAAAUCAUGCAGUAAAUUGAGAAUAUGAGCUUACCUCCGUGAGCACGGCUGGCUCAGCUACCGAGCUCCACAGCCAGGGCUGAGGUUUUCCAUCCAGGUCUAGAUGGGAAAAGAUCAGCCAGGUUUGAAGUUUCUCCCCCUGAGUUCUUUCCUCUGAGGAAAACAAUCAACCCCUUAUUUUGGACCUCCUAUUAUCAGAAAGUUUGAUUUUACGUCAUCCAACCAGCAGAGGUGGAAAAAGUACUACAAAGAUGUAAUUAAGUAAAAUUAUCUUUACUUUCUUUAAAUUCUACUCAAGUAAAAGUACCAUCUAAAAAAUGUACUUGAGUAAAAGUAACUAAUUACUUUACCUUGUUAUUUACUUAGUGAUUUACUUACUUAAAUCUUUCACUAAGAUUAGAGACCAACUGCAAUUAAAGUCGUGCUUUGCUCUGGUACUGCUACACUUCACUGAAACAUCAGCUAUCGGGGUGGAUGCUAAGCUAAGCGAAAAUAAUUGAUAUGGCAGAGAUGAUGAUCCUAAAGCGGUUUUGAAAACAGAAAGUUGUUAAUUGUGACAAUUCACAAAAGGCAUCUUCAUAAUUAUGAGAAGAACAAAGCCUCUCAACAGAGAUAACUAUAAUAAUAAUGUAUCAUUUUGACGACUGCUUUUCUCUGUUCCACCGUUGUGUUCCUGCGAAAAGAAAUAAACAUUUAUCUAAUGAUAACGAUGACAAGAGCAGAUGAAAAUUUGGAGUUGAGCUUGUCACAUUAACUCUGAGUCUGUCCUUUAUUAGAAUGACAACUCUUUAGACAUUCAACGGGAAUUAACACUUCUUUCACGUUUCUGCUCUUUCCUUGGGCUGAUCAAGCAGUAUGUUCACCGCUGACAGGAGACUGAUUUGAACUAAAUCAGUUCAUUUUUUUAUAAUUUUUAAGUUUAAUGAUUCUCAUGAAAAACAUUAUAUUUUCCUUCUUUUACCACGGCAGCAUUCUCCUCCUACCGAAAUCUGUAAAAGUAACAGGGUACGUUUCGCCACCAGGGGACGUACUCAUUACCUGUGAUUGGCUUACACUGACAUUUGAUCAUCUACUUAUUUGAAUUGUCAUAAUCACUUCAUAACAUGAGUGGUAACUUUAGUCUGCACGGAAGGAGCAUUUACAUAAAACGAACCAAGCUACCCAUCACUGGUAACAGGUGCUCAGAAGAAAAAUCGUAAGUGGCUACAUGAUCAGUGGCUCCCCCUACAGUCUGUCCUGGAGGAUAAAAUUGUUGCAAAGCAAAGAAAAAAGUGACAUGAGUUG